rnacentral:lncRNA from 1 species
GAGACUUCCUGGAAAGAAGAUGGAAUAAAGUAUCAUGACAGCAUUGCUUAGGCUGGCUGUUGAUCACUCUACCUCUUCUGUCCCAGAAGCUGAUGCCAAAAAUGCACUGACUGUGGCCUUGUCUACCGCUUGGCUCCUUCCUCCAGGACACAACAGACAUUUCUCCUUGUUGAGGCUACAGCUGCACGUGCCCCAUACAGACCCACCACUACAGACAUUUCUCCUGGAGGGAGAGCAGUCAGCCACCUGGGAAGGGUACCUUCUCCUCCUUUCCAUGCCUCAUGGCGUCUGUCACCAUCUCCACCGUGAGCUUACUCAGCGUCCCUCCAUGCGAAGCACAAUUAAACACCGAUGUCCCCAGUCCACUCUCUUCAGGAGAUGCUAG